rnacentral:other from 1 species
UGGGUGCUGCUCUGCGCGUGACUGGUUACAUUCCAGUGGCCUUAAGCAAAUCCGAGGGAGCUGGCUCUGUCCUGGCCCUGGCCUGGUUACCUGGCGCCCACCUGUAUAUACAGGUCCUCGGGAAUAAAUACCAAAACGGCUGUAGCGGGCCCAUC